GAAAUGCGAUAAGUAAUGUGAAUUGCAGAAUUCAGUGAAUCAUCGAAUCUUUGAACGCACAUUGCACCCUCUGGUAUUCCAGGGGGUAUGCCUGUUCGAGCGUCAUUACAACCCUCAAGCACUGCUUGGCAUUGGAUGACACCUGUUGUGGUGCGUCUCAAAAAUAUGGGCAGUAGCACUCAGCUUCUAGUGUAGUAAUUUUCUCGCUUUGGAGUUUUGGGUGUCUAGCUGUUAGAACCCCUAAUUUUUAAAGGUUGACCUCGGAUCAGGUAGGGAUACCCGCUGAACUUAA
rnacentral:misc_RNA from 1 species